UUUUAGCCCUGAUGGAAACGGCAUCCUUUUAUGGUGGGGUUCACCAUAAAAGAUACAGUUGAUAGCAGGAUUCACU
rnacentral:sRNA from 1 species